CUUAGAGUUGCCAGGUAUUUCUCAUAUAUUUCUUAGGGUUGCCAGGUAUUUCUCAGAAGUAUUUCUCAGGUAUUUGAGGCUGCCUCGCCGGUGCCGGUAUUGCAGUAAUACCAGCAAUACAAAUGUCUGUCUCAGUAUAAACAGAGAUUGUUCUGCAAUACCAACGCCGGCCAGUAGGGGUCGCUGUUUGUGUGGAGAGAGACAGUGAUAAGAAGUUACAGCAUCUCCCUACCUGCCUCUCUCUACUCACUGAGAG